CGCGCCUGUCCGCUCGGGGUCUGGUGAGGCGGCGGGAGCCAAUAGGAGGAGGGCGGCCCAUAUGACGUACGCACACGCCACCGGGGGGUGGGGCUGGUGCCCGGCACGCGCGCUUCGAGCGAGUGCGCGCAGCACGGGCCGGCAGCAGGGCGGACAGGACGCCGGUCUUAGGGUCCGGCCCUGCCCUGCCCUUCCCUGCAGUGCGCUGCCCGACCUCGUUUGCUGAAAGAAUGCGGACACUGCGGGUCCUCGCCUUCCCCAGGUUCCGUGCGCAAACCCCUCUUAGUGCUCUCAAGACCCGGGAUCCUUAGGGCCGAGCACUUCGUUGGCCAGGUGACAGGUGGUCUGUAGGUUCACAACCCAGUCCGGAGCGCCCCCCCAGCCAAGACCACACCGGCUAAAGCCACAGGGCUUGUGACCAGGCCUGAAAGGGCACCGUGUGACCUUAGGUAGGACGUGUGGUGGCCAGAGAGUAAAACAAAGCCAACCUCCCUAGCAGGCUGUUUCUCAAAGUUCCUGCGGGAGGUCAGUUUCCCAGCGUGACGCAGCACCGGUGUGGGUGGCUUGGCCGCCUUCCUCGCUCACAACACGUCCAUUCCCCUCUAAGCCAUAUUGGCCGUUCUAUGCCUUGUUCAGAAGAACUCGAAGGAGUUUUGACUAAGGAAUGUUGCAAUUUGGGUCUUGGCUUUUUUGCCCUCUGGCCAGUGCAAGCUUGUGAAGGUUGCACGGGCACGCGCGUGUGCACACACACAGUGGGGGGUGGGGGUCAUCAGUUCGGGAGCCCUCUCAACAGCAAAAAGCAGGAGGGGCUGCCUAGCUUCAGUGGAUAGAAGUUGUUAGUGACUGUGAGUCUCUACCGUGGGAUGUGGCAGGUGAGCCUCUACCAGCCAUUAUCGGCUGUAUUCCUUAGAUGUUGAGAAAGCUGCACCUGUGUAAAUACAUACAGCUUUGCCCCUAAGGAACAGACACAUCACUCACAGGAAACUUGGCCCAAGGAACAGUCACGUCAGUAACUUGCAGGAAGCUGGCAUGAUGGGACAGGCUGCAGCUCAGACCCUUCACCCACACCCCAGUACCAUGCAUCUGUCUUGUGGGUCCUGAGUUGUAUUCCAGUCCAUUUUGCUUGUCCUUAUAGAUUUCUCCAAGGGUUCUUCCCCCGCCUCCCUCCAAGGAUUCUUUCUGUUGUUAUAGUCCCUAUGGGCAAGCCUGGAGCUUCUAGUAUUUUGUGCAUUUCUGGGUUGCUUGCCUCUGGAGUGAAGACUUCGAACAGUUGUCUUCAAACAGUUGCUCUGUUACCAGCUAUUAGCUUGGUUGCCUCCUCUGCUUACCCAAGUCAGUACUCACCCCGCCUAACCUGCUGCUUGGCAUCUCAUCUGUACUGGGACAAAACAAGCUGUGGUCCUAAACCAUGAUGGCUGUAGUGGCACACAGACCAAGGUGCCCUGUGGACCAUGAAGGAUACCCACCCUGUGCUCUGGUUCCUGGGGUCCCAUGGAGACUGCCACAGGCUCUAUGGGCUUGUGAGCAAUUUGCCCUCACAGUCAGUGAAUGACGCUUCCAUAGAUAGGGUGAUGGUAGAGGAGAGUUUGGACUAAGGCUUUGGAGAUGCAGCCUGAGUACCAAAAGUGAUAGCCAGUUAUUCUAAGGCCUGCUAGUGUCUCUGUGCAUACUGGAAAUGGAUGAUCAGGGGCCCCCUCUCUGCCCUGAGGAUGAGUGGGGUUGCUAGGGAGAUGCUUUUGAAACAGAGCUCCUGGGUGCGCCACUGUACCAUGUUACCAUAUUAACAUGUACUUCAUGUUAAUCAUUACAGACGUACUGAUUGCUGAGCUCCCAGCUACUGGGGACUCGCCUGGAGACCAUGCAGGCAAGGUGAGCCAGCCACUCCCUUUGUAUCUCUGCAUUCUUUCUGGGAUAAUAGCAAUAAUCACUCUGGCUUGUAUUCUUAAAAUGGAGUAGAUAAGGAGAUAUAUCGGCUACUUUAUUGCAAGCUUACCCCAUGUUCCAUGUUGGCUAUUCAGAAAAUAUAAUCAUGUCUGGAGCUGAGGUAACAACCCAGUCAGUAAAGCGCUUGCUUUACAAGAAUAUGAACCAGCCGGGCGGUGGUGGCACACGCCUUUAAUCCCAGCACUCGGGAGGGAGGCAGAGGCAGGCGGAUCUCUGUGAGUUCGAGACCAGCCUGGUCUACAGAGCUAGUUCCAGGACAGGCUCCAAAGCCACAGAGAAACCCUGUCUCGAAAAACCAAAAAAUAAAAAAAAAAAUGAAAACAAGAAUAUGAACCAGACUAUGACCCCCGCAGAACCCACAUAAAGGGCCACACGUGCAGGAGCACAUGUGGGUAAUCUCACUGCUAGAGACAUAGAGGACCCUUGGACCUUGGUGUCUCGGUGGUGUAGCCAAAAAGUGAGCUCUGAGUUCAGAGAGAAACCGUGUCUAUAAAAAGGUGGAGAACAAUUGAGGAUGACUUCCGAAUCCACCUGUGCUCUUCACGCACAUCAACUUUCAGCCCACCACCCACCACCGAGCAAAAACUGCUGUUACGAUUUCAUACUAGGCCUGGGGGGGAGGGUGGUGGCGCACGCCUUUAAUCCUAGCACUUGGGAGGCAGAGGUAGGCGGAACUCUGUGAGUUCGAGGCCAGCCUGGUCUACAAGAACUAGUUCCAAGACAGCCAGGACUGUUACACAAAGAAACCCUGUCUCAAACAAACAAAAAAGAUUUCAGACCAUGUAUUUCCACAUAUUUUUUCCUAUGCAGAAGUAUAUGUGGCUUUUUCAGUUUUUAUUUUCAAAGUUUAUUGUUUUUAAUGUGUGCAUGUGAAUGUAUGUAUGUAUGUGUUCCACAUGCAUGCAGGUGCUCACAGAGACCUGAAGAGAGUUCAGAAUUCCCUGGAACUAGGAUUAUAGAUGGUUGUGAGCCACCAGGUGGAUGCUGGGAACCAAACCUGAAUCCUCCAGGAGAACAGCAAGUGUUCCUAACCACCAAGUCCUCUCUCCAGCCCCCUUUUUCAUUUCUAAACAUUUAUUGUGUGUGUGUGUGGGGGGGUGUGGCUGGAGGUCAGAGGACAACCUGUGGGCGUUGCUUUUCUCCUUUUGUGUGGGUCCCAGAAGUUAGAGUGCAGGCCUUUACCCCCUGAGCCAUUUUGCCAGCCCCUGUACCACCUUCUGAGUCCUACUGGAGUCAUUCACACACAGCAGAUCCUGUGACCAAGUGACCGUGAGCUUCUUCAAAGCGUGACUUUGGUACCGUGGUUGAAACUUCACAGACAUAAUGCACAGCUUCCUCACUACAGGCCUCACUGUUUUCCUGUACUCAGAAGGUGCAUAGGCUGCCGCAGGGUCACUGCUACCUCUUCGGCCUUCCCUAGCGUCAGACCACCACAAAGCUGCUGUCUGCUUCUAUGGGCUUCCUGUUCCAAUCACUCUUGUGAACAUGAUAUUCACUGUGUGGUCUUUGGUGGUUCUCUUUCAGCAUAAUGUUUUCAAGAUUGAUCUGUAUUGUAGCACAGUACUGCGCUGUCUCUUUAUGGCUGGCUAAUAUUCCAAUGUGCAGCUUCACUUUACUUUGACCUUUCCCUGGUUGGCUAUUUUGGCGGUUAUGAAUGAUACUGCAGUAAAGACACGUGAGACACGUGCUUAGCUCUGUGUGUGUACUUUCAGUUCUCUUGGUGAAAUUACAGGGUCUUACAGGAAACUGUUUUCCAAGGCAGCCACACCACUCUGCAGUCUCAUCAGAACAUCACAAGGGGCCAGCCUGGGUGAGGAUCCCAGGGGAGCUGUAAGGGAAGGUAACAGUGAUCUCACAACUGGACCUGUGCAGCAGCCCUUGGAAAACCAGGAAGCUAACAGACAUCUCUGGUCCUGAGUAGGCAACUGGUGAAUGGCCCAGCCAGGUAUGUGUGUUCCUGGUGCCUAGGGAAGACAAGGCCAGAAAGUAUUGGAUCUGCUGGAAGUGGAGUUAUAUAUGGUUGUGAGCCACCAUGUGAGUGGUGGGAACCAAACCCAGAACCUCGGCACGAACGGCCAGAGCUCUUCACCACCAAGCCUUCGAGCCAUCUCUCUAGCCCCUCUUAAACCUUUUUUAAGAUACCAAAAGCCCAACUGAUAUAUACAUAUGUAUAUGUACACACAUGUGUAUAUAUAUAUUGCUCGUUACUGCCCUCAAGAAGAGCACUCAGUUACACAGUUGCAUGUGGGGUGUAUGCCUGUGAUCCCAGAAUUUGGGAGAUGGAGGCAGGUGGAUAAGGAGUUUAAGAUCAUCCUCAGCAGCUAUCUGGCACCCUGGCCAGGUUGGGGUGCAUGAAGACCCCAAGUCAGCCAAAACAAGGAGGUAGAGUCACACUGAUCUCUUGUAAAUGACUUGUUCGCUUUGUAGCAAGUACUUUUGUAAGGCAGAGGAACCCUUCCUUCCUUCCCCAAAGGGACCUAGUUCAAGAAAGCAGAGCUUCUCACACAUGCCAGGAGAGUCCAAGGUCUCUUAAAGGGAGACAACACUGGCCAGAGCUCUGUAAGUUAAAUGAAGUCUGAGAUUUUGGAACCAGCAGAAAGAGACAUUCCUAGGUUGUAAGAAGGAGACAGUUCUGAGAGCAAAGGUCAUCCUCAGAGAGACUUUCUCAAAAGUCUUGCGAGAUCAGUGAGCAGUGGAGGAGGAAGUGAGAAGGUAAGAAGUGCGUGCUGUAUUCAACCCUACCACCCCGUGUCAGGGGGAGGUCAUUUUUCAGGGAAAAGGAAGCAGGUUAAUGCCCCUAAUUUAACAAACUCAUCAGAAAUGGGGUGGAGGUAGAGAGGACUGCUCACCCCUGGAGACCAGCUGGACUAGUCUCAGACUUCAGUGCCCUCCUUUCUUUGGA